rnacentral:rRNA from 1 species
GGGUCAGUAGGUUGGUCGUGCCACCGGUACGUACUGGUCUCACUGAUUCCUCCUUCCUGAAGAACCGUAAUGCCAUUAAUUUGGUGUUGCGGGGAAACAGGACUGUUACUUUGAAAAAAUUGGAGUGUUUAAAGCAGGCUAACGCUUGAAUACAUUAGCAUGGAAUAAUGAAAUAGGACGAUCGAUCCUAUUUUGUUGGUUUCUAGGAUUGACGUA